GACGAACGCUGGCGGCGUGCCUAAUACAUGCAAGUCGAGCGGACGGAUGGGAGCUUGCUCCCAGCGCGUCAGCGGCGGACGGGAGAGUAACACGAGGGCAACCUGCCUGCAAGACUGGGAGAACUCCGGGAAACCGGGGCCAACACCGGAAAACUUUUUCCCCCACAUGAGGGAAAGCGGAAAGAUGGCAUCUCGCUAUCACUUACAGCUACGCCGGCGGCGCAUCAGCUCGGGGGUGAGGGAACGGCACACCACGGCGGCGAUGGGAAGCGGCCCUGAGAGGGUGGUCGGCCACCCUGUCACUGAGACACGGCCCCCACUCUUGGGGUGGGCCGCAGUAGGGACUCCUCCGCAAUGGACGAGUGUCGAAUGGAGCAACACCGCGUGAGUGAUGAAGGUUUUCUGCUCGUAGAGCUCUGUUGUCCGGAAAGAAGAAAUGCUGGUGUAACUGCCGGUAUAUUGACGGUACCUGGAGAAUAAGCCCCGGCUAACUCCGUG
rnacentral:rRNA from 1 species